AGCCGCGAAUAGCUCAUUACAACAGCCAUCGUUUACUGGAUAUAUGUUCUACAUGGAUAACUGUGGUAAUUCUACAGCUAAUACACGCAUCAAAACCCAACCUUACGGUGGGGUGCGUUUGUUACAUCAAACCAAUCGGACUUCGGUCUGACCUGAAGUGAUAUUGAACAAUUUGGCUGAUCGCACGGUCUAAGAACCGGCGACAUAUCCUUCAAAUGUCUGCCUUAUCAACUUUCGAUGGUAGCUUAUGCGACUACCAUGGUUGUAACGGGUAACGGAGAAUCAGGGUUUGAUUCCGGAGAGGGAGCCUGAGAAACGGCUACCACAUCCAAGGAAGGCAGCAGGCACGCAAAUUACCCACUCCCGGCACGGGGAGGUAGUGACGAAAAAUAACAAGCUGGUCUCAAUGAGUUCCGGCAUUGUAAUGGGAACAACUUAAAUCAUUUAUCGAGGAUCUAUUGGAGGGCAAGUCUGGUGCCAGCAGCCGCGGUAAUUCCAGCUCCAAUAGCGUAUAUUAAAGUUGUUGCGGUUAAAAAGCUCGUAGUUGGAUCUAGGACUAGGGCCACGGUCGUUCAGCUUGGACGUACUGUGUGCCCGACUCCUUUUCUCUAGUAUUCGGUUGUUGCUCUUAAACGAGUGACCUUUGUUGCUGGGACUUUUACCUUGAAAAAACUGAAGUGCUCAAAGCAGGCUUUGCCUGAACAUUGUUGCAUGGGAUAAUUGAAUAGGAUUUUGGUCCUAUUUUGUUGGUUUCGGGACACGAAAUAAUGAUUAAUAGGGACAGACGGGGGCAUUCGUAUUGCUGCGUUAGAGGUGAAAUUCUUGGAUCGCAGCAAG
rnacentral:rRNA from 1 species